rnacentral:lncRNA from 1 species
CAUCAAUAAACCACGCACUCAUUUUCCACCAAUUUGAGCUAUCCCAAAACACCCCGAUCGGUGCCUCACCCACCCUCCUCGCCGCACCUCUGGUCACAAUAUAAGCACCGGAGAACACUACUGUUGCCCGACCUCCUAAAGAACGCCUACAUUUUCCCCAAUUUGUUCUCUCACAAAAGCCCUCUCAAAGCUGACACCACACCACCAUCCUCCUCGGCGGCGUCGUAGCUCCGAUCACAAUAUAAACACCGAAAACCAUUACACCACUUACUGCGGUUGAAGGCUCGAGAAAUGGGAGCUCGGUGGGGUUAAUUUCGGCUUAACUGUGGUCUGCAUUACUCUGUGGUUCGGGUUAACUCUGCGACCUCCAGCUAGCAUAUUCAUUACAAAAGCCGGAGAUUAGAAGCACGCAAUUAUAUGUAAGCUUCUGGCACAUCCUUUUGAUGCUUGUCAUUUUUAGUUUUUGGUUUAUAAUUUAGUUUUUUAGUCGUGUUUAAGAUAUUAUUUAAUACUCCUUCUACAUUGAAUCAUUUUUACAUGUGAGAGCUAUUUAUAUUUCCAUUAGAGAUUUACAACAUUAUAUUGCAUGUUCUAUGCUUGAGUUGAUUUUUUAAGAUCAAUAUCGUACUGUUGUAUUGGAAAACAUGAAUUUCUAUAGGUCACUGACAUGUUAGAAUGUAUGGGUAAAUUGCUAGGUACACAUGAAAUGCAUAAUUAACUAAUUUUAAACUGAAGUCGGUUAAUCGGUAGUUAGAUAGUUCGUAAGACAGUUAGAAUCAAUACGACUGAAUAGUUGGGAUAUAAUUAAUUCUAAAUAUUAGUUAUAUUUAUGAUCUCCAUCGUCGAUCGGUAAAUAUAAUGCGUUAAAUGUCAUUGUGAAGAAACUGUCACUUGUUUUCAUUUUACCCCUUAUUUUGUGCAUGGUGCAAUGUAAAUGGUUUAUGUUUUGAUGAGCACUACCACUAAUUUUGUCGCAGUGGAAGAGAUUAUGGAAGAUGUGAAUGAUGAAUUGUUAGUGGAGUCCGAUAAUGAGAACGCUGCAGAUAAUAUGAACAGGGUUGAAGAUGAAACAUUAGGACAAAAUGGUUCGAUUGUACCGGAGGUGGGUACGAUGUUCAACAAUGAAACAGACAUGUUUAAGAUGUACAAGAAAUAUGCUUAUGAUAUAGUUCUCGUCAGAUGACGGAACUCAAAAAAAGGGAAUGAUGGCGUUCUGAGAUAGGUAACUUUCACAUGCAAUCGUGAAUGCAAAAGAGAUAGUAAUGCGAAUAUGUCUUUAAAGCCUAAACAAAUAAGUCAAACUGACUGUAAAACAAGGAUCUCAGCCUCCUCAGACAGUCAUGGAAGGUGGAGAAUUAACACAGUCCACCUCGAUCACAACCAUGAAACUAGACCUUCUAAAUCUAGGUUUUUUUGAUGCAAUAGGGAGUUAAAUGCAAAUGUGAAACGUAAACUUGAAGUGAAUGAUGUGGUAGAAAUUCUGUUACAUAAAAGUUACAACUUUGCAGUUACGGAAGUAUGUGGAUAUCAGAACAUGACAUGUAUAGAGAAGGAUUGCAGAAACUAUAUUGAACAAGUUAGAUGUUUACGACUUGGAGAGGGAGACACAGCUGCAAUAUAGUCCUACUUUUCGAAAAUGCAAGCAAAGUGCUUGGGAUUUUACUUCAGCAUUGAUUUAGACGACAAGUCUCAACUAAGGAAUGUUUUCUGGGCAGAUAUAGGUGUAGGCAAGUGUACAAGAGUUCGGCGAUGUUGUGACAUUUGAUACCACUUAUCUCACUAACAAGUACGACAUGCCGUUUGCCCCUUUCGUUGGAAUGAAUCAUCAUGGCCAGUCAAUAUUGUUUGGUUGUAGUUUGUUAGCUAAUGAGGACAUAGAUACGUUUGUCUAGCUAUUCAGGAUAUUGCUUGAGUACAUGCAUGGACAAGCUCCGAAUGCAAUAAUUACUGAUCAAGAUCGGGCAUGCAGAACACAAUUGGGAUCCUUUUCCUAUGCACAAGACAGAGAUGGUGUCUAUGAUACAUUUUGAAGAAGUUGUCGGAGAAGUUUAGGUAUCAUGUUGAUAAGGGCGGGAUAUUUUCGACUUUGCAUAAUGUGGUUUAUGAUUCAAAAACUGUUGAAGAAUUUGAAGAAGGGUGGCAACAGAUGAUAGAUAUAUAUGAAUUGCAUGAAAAUGAUUGGUUGUCAAAAUUGUAUGAUAAUAGAGGUCGUUGGGUUCUUGCUUCUUAAGAACCACAUUCUGGACAGGGAUGUCCACAACUCAACGAAGUGAAAGUAUGAACGCGUUCUUCGAUGGGCAUGUGCAUUUGAAGACCUCGUUAAAGUAAUUUGUAGAACAGUAAAAAAGAGCACUGAGAAGUAAAGUGGAGAAGGAGUCCAGGCUAAUUUCAAGUCAUACUCACAAAUGGCGCCCUCUACAACAAAUUAUGAAAUUGGGAAGCAUUUCCAGUCAGUUUAUACCAUUUCAAAGUUCAGAGAAGUGCAAGAUGAGUUCAAGGGAAAGGUUUAUUUUGACCUCAUUUCUAAUUCUGAAGGAUGUUCGUGGAUGACAUAUGACAUGCGUGAGGAUGUGCUGUAUCACAGGCACAGGGGAAAAAAAUAUUUUUCAUCUCAUUUUAUAUGGAGUGGUGUGAGAUAAUUUGCAGUUGCCACUUAUUCGAGUUCGGGAAUUAUUUGAAGACAUGCAAUUGCUUGAUUGAUUCGAAACGACGUCACAUGAUUGCCUGAGAUGUACACACUACGGAGAUGGAGGAGAGAUGUCGGUAGAGCAUACACGAGGGUUGUAGUGCACCAUGAUGGUUUGGUCGGUACUCCUGGAUAGUUGAGAUAUGACGAGAUGUGUAAGGCCUUUUCGCAAGUGGCUGACUUCACUGCAGAUGAUGAACCCCGGACACGUGCUAUAACGGACUAGAUAAAAUCUCAAGCUACGAAGCUUAUGUCAACGAAGUUGUGUACUGGAAAUAGUAUCAUUUCAUAGCAUACUCUUCAUUUAGCCUCACCAUGUACUGAUGCGCAAACUAUUGGUAGUAGGCAAUAUGGGAUCCGAAAUUAACAAAGUAGAAAGCUACACCAUGGAAACUUCGAAAAAAAAGUCCAUUGGAGUCUACAUCAAAGAAAUCAGGGGUACUGUUGUAUGUUAGCAUCUCAUUUCUAGUACAAUUCAAAUCUAGUUUCUCAUGAGAUUUGGGUUUAUAUGCAGGCAACUUCGACAUCGAAUAAAGGAAAGAGACCGAGAGCUAGACAAAGUAAUAUAGAAGAGGCAGUUCUUGAAAUUGUGGCUUCUGAACAACAAUAUUCCACAUAGAUACAUUUCUCAUAUUCACAAUUCUUAUUGGUUAGCACUUUCUGUUUGUUUUGAUUACUAGGUUGUACUUUUAUUGAUGUUGUUGUGUGAUGCAGGGCGAAACCCAAAGUCAAGCAUUUACAGAAGACUUGUCGUCAUCGAAUUGGAUCUCACUAUUGUCAAUGAAUGUUGAUCUCAAUGCCGAAGGUAAAUACAAUAUUUAAAUCCUCAUUGUAUUAAACACAUUUGUAUUGUGUUUGGUUACUUAUUUCCAUAUUGUCCAAAUUAAGAUAGGUCAUUCUUUUUCAUAUUUCCAUCCGCAUUUACCACAUCUAGAUGACUCGAAGUGAUAAAUUGGUGAACUGCAGUUCCGACAUUAACAAGGUGGGCCAUUUGUAUUGUAAGUUUUCUCAAAUUUAGGAUUUCUAGUUUUUACUUUCAAUAACAUUGGAUGAAAGUUUACUUUUUCUUUCACUGAGAUUAUUUAUUUCAUUUCAUUUGCAGUAACUUCCUUCCGUACUGCUAUAGAAUAAAUGCCUUACUGUGAGGUAUGUUUUCUUCUUUUUGUUAUAAUAUAUUUAGUUAAUAUACAUUUUUGCUUUUGGCUAUGAAGAUAGGGUGAAAAUAUAAUGUAACUAUGAGCUUUGUCAAUUUCGUACCAGUUUAAUGUGUUGAUACAUUUAAGAGGAGGCUAUGUCUUUUUAUGCGUAUGACAUUGCAGCUGGUUUCUUGCCUAAUAUGUUUUUUAUUUUAUAACCGACUCACAGAAUAAUUAGCAAUUUGCAAUCUGGAAGGGUUAAUCAAAAGGAGAAGCUAAGACUCGUGAAUGGAGAGAUGCCAUGGAUGCAUAUAUUGGUCAGAUAUUGUAUUUUGAACCUGGAAAUGCAUUCUUCCCUGCUUAUUUUCGGAGUCCGUCACUAACGAACAUAGCAAUUCAAUAUGCUGCUCUACACUUGUAGGACUUGAGUGGCUGAUUGUACAAGUAUGUUUUUGUCCUUAUUGCAUUGCAUGUGCAGUUUCUUAAACAUUAGAUUGGCAGAUGAAUUUGUAGUCGUUGUAUAGAGCCAAUGAGCUUUGUUUUUGUUUUUUAAGUACGCUGGCAUAAAUUAAAUGAAAUGUAGCUUUUUCCUUG